AAAUCUUUCGCUAACUUAUUGCAGCGGGACAUUCCUUUUCCUCGAUUAUAACUUUAAUAAAAAUUCUCAAUUAUUUUCUACUCGUACAAUAUUCCAGCCUGAAGAUAUUUCACCACCGAUCAUCGAUAUUUUUAUUCAAUAUUCUCUAUAAGACACAAAAUUCCUAAAAUAUAUAAGAACUUUUAAAUUAUUGUCAGAUACAUUUACUUCGUCUUCAUGAAAACUCGAAAUCCUUUCAUCUCUACGCUUUCUUCGAACGGAAAUUUGAGAUUUCGAAUUUCUUCAAACUUUGCUCGCCGAUCUAACUACUCCGUCCUGAAGAUAUCGCUCGAUCUCAAUUAUUAAUAUUUCCAAUAUUCCCUAUAACACUGAUAAUUACCAAAAUUCCCAUGCCAUAAUGCAAAACGUUUAAGAUAUCUCAUCCUCAGAGACGUUUAGUCGAUCUUUAAAAAUUUCUUCGCUGAUGUAAAUAUUCCACCGUGAAGAUACUUGUCGAUCAAUUUAUUGAUACUUCUAACGACACUAACAAUUGCCAAUAUCGGCAAAAGUCCCUAAACUAUAAUCCAAGACACUCGUAUAGCAAUCUCGAAUAUACAUAGUCGAUGCUUGAAUCUGAAAUACUCGACCCUAAAAAUAUACCUAUCUCGAUCAGUUGAUCUUAUUAACGCUUGCAGUGUUUUCUCACUGCGCUAACAAAUGCCAAAAUCCUGGAAAUCCCCAGUAUCGUAUCUUCAAAGUGAUUUAGUCGAUCUUGAAACAUUGUAUUUUUUAAUAUUUCAUAUGGAACACGUUCCAUUUUUAAACUACGUCUCGACCAAUUGCUUUAACGCUUCCCCUACGACCUUAUUAAUUUCCAGGAUUCCCCGAAUUUGCAAAAGUUACUCAAUUACGAUCCAAAACCAUCGGAAUAUGUUAGAAUGUUUCAUUCGCAAAGACAUUUGUCCGAUUCUCAAACUUUCUUCGCUAAUCUAAAUAUUCCAUCCUGAGAACGCUGGUCGAUAAAUCCUGAAAUCUCGACACAAUCAGUUCAUCCAUCUCCAGCAGCGUAUCGAGGUCCAGAGCAAGAGGAGCAAGAGGAGGAGAUGAGGAGAUGAGGAAGAGGGGGAGGAACAAACAAAAAAUAACUAAACAGAGAAUCUAGUAACGUGGAGAGGCAGAUCAGGCCGACACGGUAUCUCCCUCGCUCCGCUUCUUUCCGCUUUGCUCCGCUUCGCUCGUUGCUGGCCAUAUGCGUUGCCUGCGCCGAUCGCGAUGUUGCACUUGGCUGGAACUCGGCUAAUAAUAGAACGGGACCAACUUUCGUCUCGGCCUCGCGUGCACCAGCUUCCUCGCGGCUGUCACGCUCGAGACCGAUGACACGCUUCGCCGUCUCACCUCGCACCCGAAUUAAUGCUUCUAUUAUUCGUUACUGCAGCGUUAUAGUUGUACAAUUACUGGCAUUAACAUACGGACGACUUAGAGCCGAGUAACUCUUUCAAAAUCGAGCCGAACGACUCGAGUGCUUUCGACAAGUCGGAGGAAUUAGUCGUCCCAAAUGACGUACAAAAAGAGAGUUGCGAAAAAGUCGCAAAUUGGUCGGAUUGGCAAAGACAAAGGUGAAGGUUAGGUUCUUGCAAAGGUUGCUUUUUAAGAUUGGACAUUUUUGAAGGUCUAUUACACGUAUUUCGCAAAUUUAUACGACCACGAAGAUCUUAUUUUAAUCCUUCUAGAGGAUUUAGUAACGCGGGUCUGUCGACGACCACCGUGGACAGUCGUUUCUUUUGUUCGUUCAACUUCAUGUAAAUUCUUGCGUUAAUGAAAAUUGAGAAACUGAUUAAUUGGACGAUACAAGGAGUUGCGUGAAAUUAGACGAACGAAAGAAAUAUUGUAAGAAGGAAGGUGCAAUUUCAGAUUAAAUUUUGAAACUGGUCGUUUCACCAGGCCUGGUAAGCCUAGCGUUAAAGAGUUUAGCUUCUCUCUGUAGUUGGCAUUCUUUCAGGAUUAAAAUACUGGUUUAUCGCGACAGGUGAGUAGAAAUUACUGACUUCCGGUGCGAGAAGACAAAUGGCGAAGGGUAGAUUUGUUGGGAUUUAAAGAUGCUCCGUGGCGUGACCCCGUUCUCCGAUUCGUGAGAAGCGAUCCAGCGGGCCGAUGAAGUAAUCCGAAUCGGAUGAUAGACGCAGCAGAAUGUUUCAGAUGGACUUUGUGGAAUUUUGUCUGGGAUCGAGUGCUUUCGAGAUUAAUUUUGCUUCCUUUACGAAACGGCGAAUAAACCGACGACUCGACGCUAAGGGUAGACGAGACGAUUCAAGAAACCCGAUGAAGAAGCGAUAUGUUGUACUUUGAAGGACAUACAAGUUCCUUUUUCCUCGAGAAACUUGUCUUCUUCAUCGGAAGAACAGGAAUUCCAAUUGUGAGCAUAUUGUCGAACAUCAAAUUCCAAUUUAACAUCGCAGACAAAAUCAAUUAAUCGGAGAUUUAUUUGUCAGAAAAAUGAAAAAAAAAAAAAAAAAAAAAGAAAGGCUCCUAACGAGGAUAAGAGUACCCUUUUCUAGAUAACUAUUUAUCUAACAUACCGGAAAAAGAGCAAAAUACUGGUUUUGAUUAAAAAGAAAAAAACGUGUAAUUUAUCAUAGAAAAAAAGGGUCAAAGUUAUCGGGAAAUUGCACAAUAAUUACUACUAAUUACAGCAGAUAUUGUUAGAAGACAUAAGUAAGACUAUCUAGUUCAAGAAACAAAGAUGACAUCAUUUUUUGAUAAAAAUCCCUGCCACGAUUAAACCUUAGUAUUAGGAAGCAGUUGUUUACGUGUUUUCGAGCUACGAUAAAUGGUUAACACGCUGCUAGAGCAAACAACACGUAAGAGACGUAAAUCGUCUCCUCUUACACGAAGCAACAAAUGUAAAAGCAACUGUUUAGCUCUACCACUGAAAACUCUUAAGAGUUUAUUUAAGAUAUAAAAGUUUAUAUAAGAGUCUAUUCUAUUAAAUAAAAUAAAUAAAUAAAACUGUGAUAUUUUAUCAUGAAUUUAUUUUAUAUAUAACGAUUGUUCUAAGUUGUAAGAUUUUUCAGCGCUAGUACACAUAGAAAAUAGCCGGCCGCAGGCGUUUGUUUCUACAGAAAUGCUCUUUCAAUUUAGUAUAAUAAGAUUGCUCGUAAAAUCUCUUCCUUUUUUUUUUUUCUUUUACUUUCGUAGCUCGUGCCACAGCGUGCGGAUAAUCGUUUCGUAACUACCGUGUAACGCCAUAAAUUGCUGGUGAUAAACGACGUUGCGACGGUUACUUAAUUGCCUUUUGUAGCCUCUCUGCUUGUGACCCUCCGACGCGCGACCAUUUUCAUAUGCCAACGAAAACUGGCCCCGGAUUAACGUGGAAUCCGGUUACCUGGCGAACUUUUGUCAGGAAAAUGGAUCGUUCCGGCGCAGUGCGGCACAUGGUGGACAAAAAAUUGAAAUGAUCAUCGCUCGAUUUUUUGAUCUUAUUAUUCGAUGAUAUUAUCAGCGUGUAAGCGUUAGAAACGUAAGCGACAAUUGGCCAAAAAAAUCGACAAACUUUUUAUUCGAUUAAGAAAAAUCGAGAAACUCGUUUAUAUUAAUCGGAUCAUAUAAAAAUGUAUAUAAAGUUAGACGAAGAAAAGAAGCAACGACCAAUGCACAGUUUUAAAUUAAAUUUUGAAAUCGGUCGGUUGACCGGGCCUGCUAAGGUUGUGUUAAACCGUGUGUAGUUAGACAAAGAAAUAAAUAUUCGAGAUAUUUCGAGCGAGCCAAGUGGCAGACGAAUCACCAACAAAGAUUCGAUAUCGCGUCGGAUCGCCUGGUGUCAAGUUUCAGUCAAAAAACUGCACGUCACAGGCUACUUUUUUGUUUACCUUUGUCCCGAACCCUCGUUCAACUGCCGCAACGUAGAACGUGAAAUCUAAACGUGAAAUCUAAACGUGAAAUCUAAACGCUAAAACGUGGCCUGCAAACGCGCGAACCUAUUCCGUGAACGUGCGAACGUGGCCAGCGAAUUUUGAUUUUUGUCCCGAAUCCUCGCUCAAAUGCCGGACUGUGCGGCAUGCAACGUGGCCAUUAAGGCGGACCCGCAAUCGCGCGACGUGUAAUCCACGAUUGCGGCACGAUUUACGUUCGACGUUUGACAAAGGGAUUGAUCGCAGACGAGGCGUGCUAUUGAUCAUAGACGAGGCGUGGAAUUGUCGAAUUCCACCGUUGGACUGUGUCGGACGAUUUAACCAGCGAAGGGACUGACAUGGAAAUGAUUCGACAGUAGCGGGUAUUACCUCGUGAAACCCAGCGAUUUCUACAGCGCUACAUAUUACCUCGCUUUCAACAAGUAUCGGUUUGGCAAUAAGUGAUGAAGCAAAAGCGUCAGCCUAUAUUUAGACUACCUCCUCUAAGAAGCGAUAACCAGCUACUACAUUCCAGCGGUUUGGCUUGGAAAGCAAACCAUGUCCUACAUUGUUCCAUCCGUUUUUGAUCCUUUGAAAGUAGUAGACUACAACGGCGAUGAAUUCAACAAAAAAAAAAAAAAAAAAAGAAAGAAAGAAAAACGAAUAAAACAA